rnacentral:rRNA from 1 species
AAAUCCGGUUCACUUUAACACUGAGGCGUGACGACGAGGCACUACGGUGCUGAAGCAACAAAUGCCCUGCUUCCAGGAAAAGCCUCUAAGCAUCAGGUAACAUCAAAUCGUACCCCAAACCGACACAGGUGGUCAGGUAGAGAAUACCAAGGCGCUUGAGAGAACUCGGGUGAAGGAACUAGGCAAAAUGGUGCCGUAACUUCGGGAGAAGGCACGCUGACACGUAGGUGAAGUGAUUUACUCAUGGAGCUGAAGUCAGUCGAAGAUACCAGCUGGCUGCAACUGUUUAUUAAAAACACAGCACUGUGCAAACACGAAAGUGGACGUAUACGGUGUGACGCCUGCCCGGUGCCGGAAGGUUAAUUGAUGGGGUCAGCGCAAGCGAAGCUCCUGAUCGAAGCCCCGGUAAACGGCGGCCGUAACUAUAACGGUCCUAAGGUAGCGAAAUUCCUUGUCGGGUAAGUUCCGACCUGCACGAAUGGCGUAAUGAUGGCCAGGCUGUCUCCACCCGAGACUCAGUGAAAUUGAACUCGCUGUGAAGAUGCAGUGUACCCGCGGCAAGACGGAAAGACCCCGUGAACCUUUACUAUAGCUUGACACUGAACAUUGAGCCUUGAUGUGUAGGAUAGGUGGGAGGCUUUGAAGUGUGGACGCCAGUCUGCAUGGAGCCGACCUUGAAAUACCACCCUUUAAUGUUUGAUGUUCUAACGUGGACCCGUUACCCGGGUUGCGGACAGUGUCUGGUGGGUAGUUUGACUGGGGCGGUCUCCUCCUAAAGAGUAACGGAGGAGCACGAAGGUUGGCUAAUCCUGGUCGGACAUCAGGAGGUUAGUGCAAUGGCAUAAGCCAGCUUGACUGCGAGCGUGACGGCGCGAGCAGGUGCGAAAGCAGGUCAUAGUGAUCCGGUGGUUCUGAAUGGAAGGGCCAUCGCUCAACGGAUAAAAGGUACUCCGGGGAUAACAGGCUGAUACCGCCCAAGAGUUCAUAUCGACGGCGGUGUUUGGCACCUCGAUGUCGGCUCAUCACAUCCUGGGGCUGAAGUAGGUCCCAAGGGUAUGGCUGUUCGCCAUUUAAAGUGGUACGCGAGCUGGGUUUAGAACGUCGUGAGACAGUUCGGUCCCUAUCUGCCGUGGGCGCUGGAGAACUGAGGGGGGCUGCUCCUAGUACGAGAGGACCGGAGUGGACGCAUCACUGGUGUUCGGGUUGUCAUGCCAAUGGCACUGCCCGGUAGCUAAAUGCGGAAGAGAUAAGUGCUGAAAGCAUCUAAGCACGAAACUUGCCCCGAGAUGAGUUCUCCCUGAGACUUAAAGUCUCCUGAAGGAACGUUGAAGACGACGACGUUGAUAGGCCGGGUGUGUAAGCGCAGCGAUG